rnacentral:rRNA from 1 species
UACGUAGGUGGCAAGCGUUGUCCGGAAUUACUGGGCGUAAAGCGCGCGUAGGCGGCUUGUCAAGUCCGGGGUGAAAUCCCACAGCUCAACUGUGGAACUGCCUUUGAAACUGUCAGGCUAGAGUGUCGGAGGGGAUAGCGGAAUUGCUAAUGUAGAGGUGAAAUUCGUAGAUAUUAGCAGGAACACCGGUGGCGAAGGCGGCUAUCUGGACGACAACUGACGCUGAGGCGCGAAAGCGUGGGGAUCAAACAGG